GAGUAGCUGGGAUUACAGGCGUGUGCCACCAUGCCCGGCUAAUUUUUGUGUUUUUAGUAGAGACCGGGGAAGGUAUGGGCCCUCUUUUGAGAAAAAUGCAGAGUGACACUGAAUUUUGUAACUACAUCAGGAGGCUCUUGAACCUUCUGCAGCUCACUCGUGGAGUUUGUAGAGAUGCGUAAUAAUCCGAAGUGUUAAGGAAGAAGGUUCUGUUGAGAAAAAGUUGGAGGGCUGAAAGGGAUGCCUUUCGCUAUUUCGACAUGUGUGGCUGUACCCCAGAGUGCCCUGGCUAACACGCAAAACCAUGAAUUAGGCGGCUUGGCGAGGCUCAGUGGAGGCUGGGGCCGAGAGUCAUGUCAAAGUUUGUGGGGUUAACCUGCACCCAGUGACAGUCAUGGCGAAGUUUGUGAGGUUAACUCGCACCCAGUAACGCUGUUCCAAUGCAAGGUGUGUAUUUGGUGUCAUCCACGGGAAGAGGAAACAGCAAAUUUUCUCAUGGCCUUGGCAGUUCCACAUGAUGGACAUUUCAUAUCUGCAGUUUUCUUCGCAUGAGAUGGCUUUUUUGCACAAAAACACUGGAAUCCAGUGAGCAAGAAUGAUAGAAUGCAAGAUGGAUUUCCACAUGAGGAAGUGUCACGAACAAGCGUUUUGCAUCUCUGUCAGCUGGAUUCCCCCAUGUGUACGUAUGUGAGAACAUGCCGUGUUUCCUGUCUGUAAUGGUAGAGGCAGCCCUGAUACUGGAUUUUCACCUGAGGAUGGAUAGAUCUUCAGGGUUCAAGUGGGUUUGCAUCUGGACUUUAGGGUGGCCCUGUAGGCCCUGUGUGAGAAGCCCCCUUCCCAGUGAACUUUCCCUUGUGUGCCCGCGUGGACAGCCAACAGGGGGAGCAGUGCGAGCGUGAAGGCAGACAGUGGCCUGGCCCAGUCUGAUGGGGUUUUGUUUGUGUUUCCCCAGGAAAAGAACUACAGCCUGUGUGGGUCCCCUCCCGACAAUUAAAAUUGCACCAUAACUCCAAAGAUGAAACGCUCCCAGAAAGAAAAGGCAAAGACCCAUCGGAAACAAAAGAGCAACUUUCACCGCCUGAUACAUACACUUCAUGACAUCCACAUUGAGACAAAAUCUCGCCGUGUGACCUACAACACCUCUCGUUCAACCCCACCUACUUGGGGUCGAAUACAGAUUUUAUCUCAUCAAACAGAAAAAUUCUUAACAGAAAAAGGAAUCCCAAAAAUGACUGGUAAUAUAAUUCUGGCUGCCUUUAUGGUAGUCAGUGCAGCGUCUGCAGAUGCCUCUAAGGAGUCCGAAACCAAGUCCGAAGUCAACAACAAGCAAUGAUGGCGAUGGCGAUUCUAGUUAAUAAAAAGGGGGGAGAUGUGGGCGGCAAGCCACCCAGGCACCGAGGCAAGAGACAGAGGACACGAGCUGUUCCAGUAUAAUAAAAUAUAAAACAAGAAUAGUUAUACCAGAUAUAGAUCUUAGAUAUGAUUAUAUACGAAUAUCAUUAAUCAUGAG
ensembl:lncRNA ERVK13-1 endogenous retrovirus group K13 member 1